rnacentral:lncRNA from 14 species
UGGAGAUUCUUUAACUCCUCUGGUCAGAGAAGGAUCUUGGCAUGUGUUUGUACUCGGAUGGAUGAAAGUGAGGAGCAGAGCUGCAUGAACCUGCCAAGUGCCUGUGCUGCCCCUCUCACCAGAUUUGCCCACCUUGGAUGUGUUGUGUCCCUGUUGGGAGACACCCACAUGUACAUGGAUCAACUGGGACAGCUUCUAGGCUGA